CCACCCAAACGUCCAUAAAUCCAAAUGGCUUGCCAAAUUUAGCCGCUUGGCCAAAGACAAAUGCUUCAUCUUCUAUCUGGGCCCAGUCUAUAUAACCCCAUCUCUCUCUCUCCGUCUUCUUUCAUUCAUUCACAGCCUCCUCUCUCUCUCUCUCUCUCUCUCUGAAAAAGAGAAAAAGAAAGGAAGGAAGAGAAGGAAUAAGUGGUGGGGUCCAGCUGCUGGGCAAGCAAAGUCAUCAGAAAUGGCUCAAGACAUUGAAGACAAGAAGCACUUGUUUCUCAACCACUCAUUUCCAUUGCCAUUUUCCAAUAUGUCAAGUGCACUGGCCAAACUGCCCCUACAAAUGAAGAGGUACCCUACAGUUGAAGACAUUCCAUUGGGGAAUCAGAGGUCACUGUCAAACAAUCCCAAGAAGAAUGAAGAGUGGUAGCAGAUCAAUUAAUGUAACUCAUCUCUUCUUGGUUUGUGUAGAGAGAAACCAACUCAACACCAUUCCUUGAUAGAACGUUUUAGAGGCAGACAGGAUGGAGCCAGGCAAUUCUAGUUAUAGUUUUCUCAUGUACCUUCUUUUUGGAGGUCAUGGAGAAGGAAUAAGAUGGUUGAAGUGGUGGAGGGUCAUCGUCUUCAUGGGUGAAAAGUUCAUGGGAAAGUAUAUAUACAUGGAAGUGAUCUGAAGAAUUUGGUUCAUGUAUUUAAAUGGGAUCUUGAAUUUUUCACUUUGUAAUGAGAUGCUAGCUGCUUCUGCUUUAAUUUGCUGCAUUUUUUUUUCUCUCUACUGCUCUCCUUUGGGAUUCAUUUGUUUAGAUACGUAAUUAGAUCUUCUAUACCGAUCUGUUCUGGCUUCUCCAUCUCAUUUCACUCAUUUGUUUGUAAUGAUAGCUGGAAUGUAAUGAAUUUGAGGCACUUAUGGCUACAUCUAUCCAAUUAUAUAUCACAUGAUUUUAUUGUGUU